UACGGGGGGGGCAAGCGUUGUUCGGAAUUACUGGGCGUAAAGGGUUCGUAGGUGGCUUGUUAAGUCAGACGUGAAAUCCCUCGGCUCAACCGGGGAACUGCGUCUGAGACUGAUGAGCUCGAGUGCAGGAGAGGAACGCGGAAUUCCGAGUGUAGCGGUGAAAUGCGCAGAUAUCAGAGGAACACCGUGCGAAGGCGGGUUCUCUGGGAU
rnacentral:rRNA from 1 species